rnacentral:misc_RNA from 1 species
UAGUAAGUGUUUUAUGGCACUUUUUAAAUCCAUAUCCACCUUGUGUGCAAUGUCAGUCGAUCUUCUUCAUGGAGAUCGACCAAACAUCAACCUUUAUUUUUUAACUCUUUGUCUGAAAAAUAUUAUGAAUAAACAAUUCAAAAUA